AUUAAACUGAACGUCGCUUUACAGGCAGGAACAGUUAUCGACCUGGGAUCCGACUCACUUAUGGAUCUUGUUGAACGCUAGCUACAGGCUUAACACAUGCAAGUCGAGGGGCAGCGGGAUUGAAGCCUGCUUCAAUUGCCGGCGACCGGCGCACGGGUGAGUAACGCGUAUCCAACCUUCCGUACACUCAGGGAUAGCCUUUCGAAAGAAAGAUUAAUACCUGAUGGUAUGAUGAGAUUGCAUGAUAGCAUCAUUAAAGAUUUAUCGGUGUACGAUGGGGAUGCGUUCCAUUAGGUAGUAGGCGGGGUAACGGCCCACCUAGCCGACGAUGGAUAGGGGUUCUGAGAGGAAGGUCCCCCACACUGGAACUGAGACACGGUCCAAACUCCUACGGGUGGCAGCAGUGAGGAAUAUUGGUCAAUGGACGAGAGUCUGAACCAGCCAAGUAGCGUGAAGGAUGAAGGUCCUACGGAUUGUAAACUUCUUUUAUAAGGGAAUAAACCCUUCCACGUGUGGGAGCUUGUAUGUACCUUAUGAAUAAGCAUCGGCUAACUCCGUGCCAGCAGCCGCGGUAAUACGGAGGAUGCGAGCGUUAUCCGGAUUUAUUGGGUUUAAAGGGAGCGCAGACGGGUCGUUAAGUCAGCUGUGAAAGUUUGGGGCUCAACCUUAAAAUUGCAGUUGAUACUGGCGUCCUUGAGUGCGGUUGAGGUGUGCGGAAUUCGUGGUGUAGCGGUGAAAUGCUUAGAUAUCACGAAGAACUCCGAUUGCGAAAGGCAGCACACUAAGCCGUAACUGACGUUCAUGCUCGAAAGUGUGGGUAUCAAACAGGAUUAGAUACCCUGGUAGUCCACACGGUAAACGAUGGAUACUCGCUGUUGGCGAUAUACUGUCAGCGGCUUAGCGAAAGCGUUAAGUUAUCCCACCCGGGGAGUACGGCAGGGACCGGAGACAGUCAAAUGACGACCGAUCGUUGUAUCGGUCAGGAA
rnacentral:rRNA from 1 species